CCGUGGCAACACUUCCUCAAACAGGAGCCGUUAAAUAGAAGGGUUUUUCUUUACGCUCCUUUAUCAAAUUGAAAGUUUUUCUGUCGGUGAUUGGGCAGAUAUGCAGGUUGGACAGAGAAGCCAAGCUCAGUGUCGGGAAUUUACCGGCCCUACACCUCACUCAGUGGCGGUGCGAGCCAGACAGUCAUCAUGCAGAAAAUCAGAUUACCUUAUCGUGGAACGAAGGAAACAGGAGGAUGCUCGCAACAACGUGCUGGAGUUUACCAAGGACCAUCGUGCCUGCGAUGUGAGAAUGCGCUGGGAAAUGAACACCGAGCAGAGGAUGGUGUCGGCCACUAUCGGGCGGCGCGUCCAUGAGGCAAUGGAACAGUACGAGAUGAGCAUCGAUGAACGGAGAGAAAAGUUGCGUAAAAUGUUGGAAUCUGAGGAGAGAGAAUUGUUGCGAGAAAUGGAGGCAAAGGAAGACACUGUGCUUGACAGGCAAGCCAGGAUGCGCGAGAGAGCAAAGUACCUGCAGGAGAAAAGAGAGAGGGAGAGGCAGAAGGUGGUUGCUGAGAAGCUUGAUCAACUCUUCAGAGAGCAGAGUGAGGAACUGCGGGUCAUGUACACGCGUCGACAACUGGACGAGGUCUGCACGGAGCGUGCCGCACAGAUCCAAACACAACGAGAAGAGCGUCAACUGCAGCAGGAGGAAGAAAUGCUGUUUGCACAGCUGUGGGAAGGAGAUCGUCUGGCUAAAGAGCAACGAGAGAACCUGCAGGCUCAGCGUCAGAGAGAGAAUAACUUGCAGCAGCUGGCUGUCCUGCGCAGUCAGAUGGAGGCUGCAGAGCAACAAAAGCUUCAGGCUAAACAGCUCAAAGAAGAAGAGGCCCAGUUACUGCGAGAUCAGAGGGAGAUGAUGCGUCUGGAAGAACACCGGGAGCAAAGACGAAAGCUCCAGGAUCAGGAGAGCUGGUGCAAACAGCUAGACAUCUCGCUGCGUCUGAAAAUGAAGCGUCUGGCACGGGAACAGCAGGAGGAUCUGGCGUUGGACAUGAGCAUCCUGGAGCUUACACUGCUUACACCGGUGAAGGACGAGAAAAAAGAAGAGACUCUGAGGAAGUUGGAACUGCGUGAGGAGCAGCGCAGGUAUCGGCAGUACCUGGCAGAGCAGCUGGAGGAGCAGAGAAAGCACGAGGCAGAGACGGAGCAGCUGAUCGAGGCUGAGCUGCAGCAGACGUGGAACCGCAGAGCGGAGCAAAACCGUCUUGUGAAAGAAGCCAAAGACCGGCUCAUGAAAGAUGUUAUGGACACACGGCGCUUACAAAUUCAGGAACAGUUGGAGAGGAAUGCUCAGAAACAGGCUGAACUGGCUAAGGAGAGAGACGAGCUGAAUAGAACCAUCCAGGAGAACAAGCUGCUGGACGAACAGGAAAAAACACGUUUUCCUUCACUGGCACUAAGGGGCCCAAACAUGCUCCAGCAUGACAAUGCUCCUGUUCACAAAGCUAGUGUCGUAGAAAUCGUGUGUCCUGCACAGAGUACUGACCUCAACCCCUCGGAACACCUUUGGGAUGAACUGGAGCACAGACUGAACCUCACGCCCCCUCACCCACGUUCACUAAUGCUCUUGUGGCUGAAUGAGCACAAAUCCCCACAACCACACUCCAAAAUCUAGUGGACAGCCUUCCCAGAUAAGUGGUGAUUAUUAUAAUAGCAAAGGGGAAUAUAUCUGGAAUGGGAUGUUCAAAGAGCACAUAUGGGUGUGAUGGUCAGGUUUCCAAAAAACGUUGGCUAUAUAGUGUAUUUCCUCUCAUUUUUAAAUCAGUUAUUUUCUAAUGGAGGAGCACGACCCAGUUCAAAGUGGAACUAGAGUAUAAUACGAUUUUCUUUACUUUCACAUUUUCAGUAAAACGCUGCUUACUCUAGAAAGCAGAAUUCAUACUAAACUGUACAAGAAAACAAAAUAAAAACCCAACAACUCUACAUGGUGACGUUUUGUUCAUGAUAGCAAGUCUCACUCUGUCUUAAACCACAUCAGCAAGUCUUGUCACUGAGGAACUAGAUGUGAUGUGAUGUGGCAGAUUGUCAGGACCAUGUUACCCAUCAUCCCCUGCACAUCACGAGAUCAUGCACACCCGAGUCAUUCUCAGGGAGGCGGGUCAGGAAUAUCAAGCUUGUCUGUUGGCUCAGAUUUUGCACAAGCAGAGGCUGUGUGAUGUCGAGCAGGCCGAGAAAGAUCAAGAGGUCCAAAGGAGUCGAAUGUUCCAGGAGCAAUACAAUCAGA